CAAUAUGGUGCUGGGGGUCGAGGUAGACAGGAUUGCAGAGUACCAGUCGAGGACCACGGUUCAGAGGCAGCAGCAGGGACAGCGUGUGACCUAGGAGAUGAUGAGGAGCCGGAGGCUGCUGCUGCCUCUGAACCCAUUCCACCACCACCACCAACUGCUGCUGUCACCACUCCUCCUAUUGCCCCAGUGAGGACACAAAACAGAAAAAGGGAGACUGAGAUCGAGACCUUACUGCUGGAGGUGCUGAGGAAGCAGAACGCACCUGUGCCUCCACCUGUCCUCUCAGAGGAUGAGCACUUUUUAAAAGCAAUACUUCCUUCCCUGCAACGAUUGCCACCCAAUGCAAAGGAACAAAUUAAAUUCCAAAUGUAUACAUUAUUGCACGAGGCAAACUGUGUGCAUAAUCCAGUAGAGUUUAAUUUGAU
rnacentral:lncRNA from 1 species